rnacentral:rRNA from 11 species
CCUAGCUUUCUAAAUACCAUGAAGAGAUCAAAUCCUGUUCGAUUGAAGUAGCUAAGUAGGAUCAGACCUGAUUAGUACUUUGAUGGGCGGCCACCAGGGAAUACCAGGUGCUUUAGGC